GCCUCCGUGGCCUAAUGGAUAAGGCACCGGCCUCCUAAUAUAUCCUCAUGGUGGUAGAAGUAAGCCGGGGAUUGCGGGUUCGAGUCCCGUCGGAGGUG
rnacentral:tRNA from 1 species